UACGGGGGGGGCAAGCGUUGUUCGGAAUUACUGGGCGUAAAGGGCUCGUAGGUGGCCAACUAAGUCAGACGUGAAAUCCCUCAGCUUAACUGGGGAACUGCGUCUGAUACUGGAUGGCUUGAGUUUGGGAGAGGGAUGCGGAGUUCCAGGUGUAGCGGUGAAAUGCGUAGAUAUCUGGAGGAACACCGGUGGCGAAGGCGGCAUCCUGGACCAACACUGACACUGAGGAGCGAAAGCCAGGGGAGCAAACGGG
rnacentral:rRNA from 1 species